GGUAUUUUUCAGUUAGCUCCUGUGUAUCUUCUGGCUACUCCCAAUCUGUUCAUGUUAAGCUCAUCAGGCCUCACCUCGUGAACAGUCUUGAACAGAGUAUUUUGAAGAGAAAUGUUGAAGUUCCACUCCCCCUGGACAAAGAUCCUCUUCCCAAGAAUGAAUUCUUACAUCAUUAUCAUCCUCCUCUUGGACUUGGAACAUUAAAUGCUAGCAUAAACUAUUUAUUUUCUGCUACACACUCAAUCUUACUUACAGUUGAGUGACUUGCAAGUGGAAACUGCUGUAUGACAGCCUGCCAAGGUUUUACGUAAGAGACAUUUAGGGAUGUAAUGGAAAGCUUCCAGCAUUAGAAUACUGGACACGCCUCUGUGAAAAAUACGUGUUAAAGACAAUAAAACCCUGGGAACUUGCUCUUCUCCUUUCAACCCAAAAGCAAAUAACAAGGCUGGCCCAGCCCCUAUCUCAGCUGGGCUGGGCCAGGCAGGCUCUGCCGCAGAGCCGAGCCCCUCUCCAGGGAGCCCGUCGGACCCUGUCUUCGCCGAGCCAGACUCAACAACUACCAAGCCAAAAAAGAGGGAAGCUGCGGUGGGCCUGGCCAAAGCAAAGUUGGGUGGCAGCUGCUAACAUCUUACCACCAGGUCUCCUCCUGCCAGCAUGGCCACCACACAAAAUCAGACAACUAAAACCAGAAGCGGCCCUGCAGACCACACAGAGUAACCAUACUGUUAUGAGUAAAAAGUUAUCGAUUUUUUUUUUAAGGUUGCAGAGUUAAAACAG